UAAGACGAACCGUGCGAACGUUAUUCGGAAUCACUGGGCUUAAAGCGCGUGUAGGCGGAUGGGAGCGUCGGCCUCUGAAAUCCCCCGGCUCAACCGGGGAAGUGGAGCCGAAACGACCCGUCUGGAGGGACGUAGGGGGACCUGGAACUUCCGGUGGAGCGGUGAAAUGCGUUGAGAUCGGAAGGAACGCCCGUGGCGAAAGCGAGGUCCUGGACGUCUGCUGACGCUGAGACGCGAAAGCCAGGGGAGCGAACGGGAUUAGAUACCCCGGUAGUCCUGGCCGUAAACGAUGGGCACUGGGUAGGGGGCCCUUCCGAUGGGCUCCCUGCCGUAGCGAAAGCGUGAAGUGCCCCGCCUGGGGAGUAUGGUCGCAAGGCUG
rnacentral:rRNA from 1 species